CACACUAACACUCAUUUACAAUUCAGAACUACGAGAGUAAAACCAGUAGCAACACGAUGUAUAGGGUUUACGUGUGUUUUCUUGUGUUGGCAAUAACAGGCCUUUGGGCCAUGCCUUUUGGUGACUUCGGUGACUACCCAUUUCACAUGGGAUUAGGAAUGGGUAUGGGAAUGCCGGGGAUGGGGAUUCCGGGGAUGGGGAUGCCCGGCUAUGCCAUGGGCAUGGGCGCCUAUAAUCCUUUAAUGGGCUCAUCCUUUGGCGGAAUGAACCCGUGGAUGAUGAACGCUAUGUGGAGCAAAUAAUGCCUGGACAUCCGAAAAACAACGAGCCCUUAAUUGUGAAGUUAUGUGAUUUUUCGUCAAUGCUGACAACAGAUCAUUGAAAACGUUGCAACAUUGUUAUAAAGGUUUCCAUAUGUUAUAAUACAUUAUUCAUUGAAGUAUUGGGUGUUUACAUUUAAAGUGCUAACUAUUUACAAUCGCUAUGUUUUGUUUAGGUUUAUGAACGCUAUCAUAUAAAUGUGUGUUACUUGUUUAGAAAUAUAUGCAAUAUGAUACACAUUUAUUAAUAUAAAAAUAUCUUCAGUAUACAUUUA